GACGAACGCUGGCGGCGUGCCUAAUACAUGCAAGUAGAACGCUGAAGGAGGAGCUUGCUCUUCUGGAUGAGUUGCGAACGGGUGAGUAACGCGUAGGUAACCUGCCUGGUAGCGGAGGAUAACUAUUGGAAACGAUAGCUAAUACCGCAUAACAGUAGAUGUUGCAUGACAUUUACUUAAAAGGUGCAAUUGCAUCACUACCAGAUGGACCUGCGUUGUAUUAGCUAGUUGGUGGGGUAACGGCUCACCAAGGCGAUGAUACAUAGCCGACCUGAGAGGGUGAUCGGCCACACUGGGACUGAGACACGGCCCAGACUCCUACGGGAGGCAGCAGUAGGGAAUCUUCGGCAAUGGACGGAAGUCUGACCGAGCAACGCCGCGUGAGUGAAGAAGGUUUUCGGAUCGUAAAGCUCUGUUGUAAGAGAAGAACGAGUGUGAGAGUGGAAAGUUCACACUGUGACGGUAUCUUACCAGAAAGGGACGGCUAACUACGUG
rnacentral:rRNA from 1 species